UAGCUAAGUUGGUAAGGAAUCUGCCUGCAAUGCAGGAGACCCAGGUUCAAUCCCUGG
rnacentral:tRNA from 1 species